rnacentral:misc_RNA from 1 species
GAUGAAGAACGUAGCGAAAUGCGAUAAGUAAUGUGAAUUGCAGAAUUCAGUGAAUCAUCGAAUCUUUGAACGCACCUUGCGCCCUUUGGCGAUUCCGAAGGGCAUGCCUGUUUGAGUAUCAUGAACACCUCAACUCUCAUGGUUUGCCAUGAUGAGCUUGGACUCUGGGGGUCUUGCUGGCCUAUGGUCAGCUCCUCUCAAAUAAAUCAGCUUGCCAGUGUUUGGUGGCAUCACAGGUGUGAUAACUAUCUAUGCUUGUGGUUUUCCAUCAGGUAACCUUCAGUGAUGGAGGUUCGCUGGAGCUCAUAAAUGUCCCUCCUCAGCGAGGACAGCUUUUUGAACGUUUGAUCUCAAAUCAGGUAGGACUACCCGCUGAACUUAAGCAUAUCAAUAAGCGGAGUA